rnacentral:rRNA from 1 species
GACGAACGCUGGCGGCGUGCUUAACACAUGCAAGUCGAACGGAAAGGCCCUGCUUUUGUGGGGUGCUCGAGUGGCGAACGGGUGAGUAACACGGGAGUAACCUGCCCUUUACUUUGGGAUAACUUCAGGAAACUGGGGCUAAUACCGGAUAGGAGCUCCUGCUGCAUGGUGGGGGUUGGAAAGUUUCGGCGGUUGGGGAUGGACUCGCGGCUUAUCAGCUUGUUGGUGGGGUAGUGGCUUACCAAGGCUUUGACGGGUAGCCGGCCUGAGAGGGUGAACGGCCACAUUGGGCCUGCGAUACGGCCCAGACUCCUACGGGAGGCAGCAGUGGGGAAUAUUGCACAAUGGGCGGAAGCCUGAUGCAGCAACGCCGCGUGCGGGAUGACGGCCUUCGGGUUGUAAACCGCUUUCGCCUGUGACGAAGCGUGAGUGACGGUAAUGGGUAAAGAAGCACCGGCUAACUACGUG